UGGGGAAUAUUGCACAAUGGGCGCAAGCCUGAUGCAGCCAUGCCGCGUGUGUGAAGAAGGCCUUCGGGUUGUAAAGCACUUUCAGCGAGGAGGAAGGUGGUGAGCUUAAUACGCUCAUCAAUUGACGUUACUCGCAGAAGAAGCACCGGCUAACUCCGUGCCAGCAGCCGCGGUAAUACGGAGGGUGCAAGCGUUAAUCGGAAUUACUGGGCGUAAAGCGCACGCAGGCGGUUUGUUAAGUCAGAUGUGAAAUCCCCGGGCUCAACCUGGGAACUGCAUUUGAAACUGGCAAGCUAGAGUCUCGUAGAGGGGGGUAGAAUUCCAGGUGUAGCGGUGAAAUGCGUAGAGAUCUGGAGGAAUACCGGUGGCGAAGGCGGCCCCCUGGACGAAGACUGACGCUCAGGUGCGAAAGCGUGGGGAGCAAACAGGAUUAGAUACCCGUGGUAGUCCACGCUGUAAAACGAUGUCGAUUUGGAGGUUGUGCCCUUGAGGCGUGGCUUCCGGAGCUAACGCGUUAAAUCGACCGCCUGGGGAGUACGGCCGCAAGGUUAAAACUCAAAGGAAUUGACGGGGUCAUAGCA
rnacentral:rRNA from 1 species